CCCGCCGGCGACCGGCGCACGGGUGAGUAACACGUAUGAAACCUGCCCGUAGCAGGGGGAUAAGCGGAAGAAAUUCCGUCUAAUACCGCGUAACAACCCAUGGAGGCAUCUCUGUGGGUUUAAAGGAAGCGAUUCCGGCUACGGAUGGUCAUGCGUCGCAUUAGCUUGUUGGCGGGGUAACGGCCCACCAAGGCGACGAUGCGUAGGGGUUCUGAGAGGAAGGUCCCCCACACUGGUACUGAGACACGGACCAAACUCCUACGGGAGGCAGCAG
rnacentral:rRNA from 1 species